AUGGAAGUUCUUCGGAGUGGAAAUUGAUAUUCUAGCGGCGGACGGGUGAGUAACGCGUGAGCAAUCUGUCCCAGACAGGGGGAUAACAGAUGGAAACAUCUGCUAAUACCGCAUAAGACCACGAGGAGACAUCUUCUUGAAGAUGGGCUCAUAUCUGAUUAGAUAGUUGGUGAGGUAACGGCUCACCAAGUCUGCGAUCAGUAGCCGGACUGAGAGGUUGAACGGCCACAUUGGAACUGAGAUACGGUCCAAACUCC
rnacentral:rRNA from 1 species